rnacentral:tRNA from 1 species
GAUGUAGCUCAAUGGUAGAGUGCUUGCCUAGCAUGCAUGAGGUCCUGGGUUCAACCCCCACAUC